rnacentral:lncRNA from 1 species
UGCUAGCAUAAACACGAAAAUCAAAUUCCAACUAGCUACAGAAACAAAAUAACAGUCUUUUAAAUCUAAUCUAAAUCCUGAUGGUAAUCAAAAAGGAUAAGCGUCAAUAACUUAUGCAGCAACUUUUGCUCUAUUACCGAUCUGAAGGAUCAUAUCACCUUUCCUCAACCUUCUACUUUCUAUUAGACCCUGCAUUAAGGUUCAUAUAUGAGUACUCGAACCAGAGUCUAAUAUCCAACUAGAAGUAGAAGAAAUCAUAAGGUUAGAUUCAAUUACGAGCAUACCUUCUGAAGGUUUAUCAUCUUUCUUG